rnacentral:rRNA from 1 species
AGUGAACGCUGGCGGUAGGCCUAACACAUGCAAGUCGAACGGCAGCACAGUAAGAGCUUGCUCUUACGGGUGGCGAGUGGCGGACGGGUGAGGAAUACAUCGGAAUCUACUUUUUCGUGGGGGAUAACGUAGGGAAACUUACGCUAAUACCGCAUACGACCUACGGGUGAAAGCAGGGGAUCUUCGGACCUUGCGCGAUUGAAUGAGCCGAUGUCGGAUUAGCUAGUUGGCGGGGUAAAGGCCCACCAAGGCGACGAUCCGUAGCUGGUCUGAGAGGAUGAUCAGCCACACUGGAACUGAGACACGGUCCAGACUCCUACGGGAGGCAGCAGUGGGGAAUAUUGGACACUGGGCGCAAGCCUGAUCCAGCCAUACCGCGUGGGUGAAGAAGGCCUUCGGGUUGUAAAGCCCUUUUGUUGGGAAAGAAAAGCAGCAGGUUAAUACCCCGCUGUUCUGACGGUACCCACAGAAUAAGCACCGGCUAACUUCGUG